rnacentral:rRNA from 1 species
GACACACGGCGGGUGCUAACGUCCGUCGUGAAGAGGGAAACAACCCAGACCGCCAGCUAAGGUCCCAAAGUCAUGGUUAAGUGGGAAACGAUGUGGGAAGGCCCAGACAGCCAGGAUGUUGGCUUAGAAGCAGCCAUCAUUUAAAGAAAGCGUAAUAGCUCACUGGUCGAGUCGGCCUGCGCGGAAGAUGUAACGGGGCUAAACCAUGCACCGAAGCUGCGGCAGCGACACUGUGUGUUGUUGGGUAGGGGAGCGUUCUGUAAGCCUGCGAAGGUGGCCUGUGAGGGUUGCUGGAGGUAUCAGAAGUGCGAAUGCUGACAUAAGUAACGAUAAAGCGGGUGAAAAGCCCGCUCGCCGGAAGACCAAGGGUUCCUGUCCAACGUUAAUCGGGGCAGGGUGAGUCGACCCCUAAGGCGAGGCCGAAAGGCGUAGUCGAUGGGAAACGGGUUAAUAUUCCCGUACUUGGUGUUACUGCGAAGGGGGGACGGAGAAGGCUAUGUUGGCCGGGCGACGGUUGUCCCGGUUUAAGCGUGUAGGUGUGUGUUCCAGGUAAAUCCGGUUCACUUUAACACUGAGGCGUGACGACGAGGCACUACGGUGCUGAAGCAACAAAUGCCCUGCUUCCAGGAAAAGCCUCUAAGCAUCAGGUAACAUCAAAUCGUACCCCAAACCGACACAGGUGGUCAGGUAGAGAAUACCAAGGCGCUUGAGAGAACUCGGGUGAAGGAACUAGGCAAAAUGGUGCCGUAACUUCGGGAGAAGGCACGCUGACACGUAGGUGAAGUGAUUUACUCAUGGAGCUGAAGUCAGUCGAAGAUACCAGCUGGCUGCAACUGUUUAUUAAAAACACAGCACUGUGCAAACACGAAAGUGGACGUAUACGGUGUGACGCCUGCCCGGUGCCGGAAGGUUAAUUGAUGGGGUCAGCGCAAGCGAAGCUCCUGAUCGAAGCCCCGGUAAACGGCGGCCGUAACUAUAACGGUCCUAAGGUAGCGAAAUUCCUUGUCGGGUAAGUUCCGACCUGCACGAAUGGCGUAAUGAUGGCCAGGCUGUCUCCACCCGAGACUCAGUGAAAUUGAACUCGCUGUGAAGAUGCAGUGUACCCGCGGCAAGACGGAAAGACCCCGUGAACCUUUACUAUAGCUUGACACUGAACAUUGAGCCUUGAUGUGUAGGAUAGGUGGGAGGCUUUGAAGUGUGGACGCCAGUCUGCAUGGAGCCGACCUUGAAAUACCACCCUUUAAUGUUUGAUGUUCUAACGUGGACCCGUUACCCGGGUUGCGGACAGUGUCUGGUGGGUAGUUUGACUGGGGCGGUCUCCUCCUAAAGAGUAACGGAGGAGCACGAAGGUUGGCUAAUCCUGGUCGGACAUCAGGAGGUUAGUGCAAUGGCAUAAGCCAGCUUGACUGCGAGCGUGACGGCGCGAGCAGGUGCGAAAGCAGGUCAUAGUGAUCCGGUGGUUCUGAAUGGAAGGGCCAUCGCUCAACGGAUAAAAGGUACUCCGGGGAUAACAGGCUGAUACCGCCCAAGAGUUCAUAUCGACGGCGGUGUUUGGCACCUCGAUGUCGGCUCAUCACAUCCUGGGGCUGAAGUAGGUCCCAAGGGUAUGGCUGUUCGCCAUUUAAAGUGGUACGCGAGCUGGGUUUAGAACGUCGUGAGACAGUUCGGUCCCUAUCUGCCGUGG